rnacentral:rRNA from 1 species
AAUAGAUACCCGGGUAGUCCACGCCGUAAACGAUGUCGAUUUGGAGGUUGUUCCCUUGAGGAGUGGCUUCCGGAGCUAACGCGUUAAAUCGACCGCCUGGGGAGUACGGCCGCAAGGUUAAAACUCAAAUGAAUUGACGGGGGCCCGCACAAGCGGUGGAGCAUGUGGUUUAAUUCGAUGCAACGCGAAGAACCUUACCUACUCUUGACAUCCAGAGAACUUUCCAGAGAUGGAUUGGUGCCUUCGGGAACUCUGAGACAGGUGCUGCAUGGCUGUCGUCAGCUCGUGUUGUGAAAUGUUGGGUUAAGUCCCGCAACGAGCGCAACCCUUAUCCUUUGUUGCCAGCGGUUCGGCCGGGAACUCAAAGGAGACUGCCAGUGAUAAACUGGAGGAAGGUGGGGAUGACGUCAAGUCAUCAUGGCCCUUACGAGUAGGGCUACACACGUGCUACAAUGGCAUAUACAAAGAGAAGCGACCUCGCGAGAGCAAGCGGACCUCAUAAAGUAUGUCGUAGUCCGGAUUGGAU